CUUUCUCCCCGCCGCAUUCCCGGUGUCGACUUACUAGCUGCAAGCCUCUGCCUGCCUUCCUGCGCGCCGUUCCCCGCUAGUCGCUGCUGCUGGCGCGCACUCGCCGGGUUUUUCCUCCCACGGCCUCGAGAUGGUGGUGAAUGUGGCACGGAGGAGCCGGGCCUUCCAACCCGGUGGGCCCGAGCUCCGAAAGGCCCCCUCGGCAGUGAGAGGGGCGGGAGCCCGCGGGGGCCGCGCCCUUCUCUCGCUUCGGACUGCGCAACGCUGCGCUCUGGGCUGACAGGCGGAUAAAACGGUCCCAUCAAGACUGAGAAAAAGCACACCAGCUAUUGGCACAGCGUGGGCAGUGGGGCCUACAGGAUGACUGACUUAGUCUACAGAGAUCCCGGCGUACUUAAGCAGAUGAAGACUCUUAAGAUGACAGAAGGUGAUUUUUCUGGUGAUCGAGGACUUCCGGGGUAAUGACAGUGAUGAAAUGCAGGGGACCUGGUAGGUUUCUUUUGGAGACUAACUGGGGGCUGCCUGGUGGGACAGAACAGCAUGUUUCCAAGGGCUGUGGCUGGUCAUAGCCAUGGGAUCUCCAACUGCAUGCAAGAGCAACCUGGAAAGACUUUGACAGCGCAGGUCAGUACAAUACCUGCAAGCUGCCACUCAGCUUUCCUAUAAUGUUUCAGGACCAGGGCUGGAAGCCUUCCAUGUGUCAACUUCAAUGUAGAUGGGUUUUUUUUUUUUUUUUUUUUUGAGACGGAGUCUUGCUCUGUCACCCAGGCUGCUGGAGUGCAGUGGCAUGAUCUCGGCUCAUGGCAACCUCUGCCUCCUGGGUUCAAGCGACUCUCCUACCUCAUCCUCCCGAGUAGCUGGGAUUACAGGUGCCCACCAUCACACCCAGCUAAUUUUCUUGUAUUUUUAGUAGAGAUGGUUUUCACCAUGUUGGCUAGAUGGGUCUCGAACUUCUGACCUCGGGUGAUCCGCCCGACUCGGCCUCCCCUUCCAAAGUGCUGGGAUUACAGGCAUGAGCCACCGCUCCUGGCCAGUUUAGUUUUCACGCUAAGCUUUUUGUUCUGCAGGUUGCCCCCAAGUUUCCUGGCAGUGUGUGAUACUGAGGAGGUGAGCUUGUUUCUGGAGCUGUGCUUUAAGAUUCAUGUUACAUGUAAAGCUGUCCUCAUUUGUGACUAUGGACCUAUGGAGUUGGGACAAUCUCUAUGGGAAGCAGAAGGCAAGGACCCCGGUCAUUUUAGGUAGAAACAACAGCAUGCUAAUGCAAAAAAUUAUGCAGUGUGCUACUGAACUUCAGAGGUGAUCAAUAAAAGAAGAAUAAAAAGACUAAUAAAAGUAUAUUUGUGUUUGUAUUUUUUUGUAGAGACCGAACUGGUCUCUUCCCGAGCUCAAGCAAUCCAUCUCCCAAAGUGAGCCACCAUGCCCAGCCCUUAAAGAGAUCUUUGGAGAUUUUUUAUGAUGUAGGAUGAAUGCUUUGCCUCAAGCAGUAAGUCCCAACACAUGACAAGGUUGGACAGUUUCCCCAUUUACUUGGGAAACACGGAAGUGAGCAGUAUAAAGUUCACACGGAGGGUCUGCUUUGGCUUUGAGCUAUCUUCCUUAAUCCUUUCUGAGCUGCCUUCUCCCGUGUCAAAAUAUUGAUCCUAAAGUGAUCCAGGCCUUGUAUAUGCAGAUGCUGCAACUCAUGAAAAUAGAUGAAACCCAUUAUUAGAGCAAGUACUAAUUCUUAGGCCAACUGGCCUGUUCCAUCACACCCCACCACAUUCUACCUUCUGGGGCGUGCUCCUACCACACCUGCUAGAGUGCCUUUUCUACCUAGCUGCCAGACUUGCACCAAGUUAGGACUCAAAUAUGGCAGGUCCUACAAAUACUCCAGAGAACCCUGAUUUACAUACCUACCUGUCAACUGAGAAACCUUGAACUCAGGCUUUAGUGUGUGAAUUAUCCCAAGCUGCUCAUCCCAGUUUUGGAUAAUCCCAAACUGUCCUAUGUGGAUAACUACCUGGACAAAGGAUUCCUGUGAAGGAAACCAAUUUGAACCUUGUUUAAAAGUUGUUCCCUUGGUCUUCAAACUCAAAUGGUCAAAUGAAUGCAGCAGUGUUGUAGAAACAUUCAUGAUCUCCAAAAACAGUCAUUAUUAAAAUCUUACAAAUCAUAUUUCCAAAAAGGUUUCACAAUUUUUAAAAAGGAGUCUCUCAUCUCCCUCACAUCAUGCAACCUGGCUUGUCCUUUGGCCUGGCUACAUCAUGGCAGGGAUCUCUGAAGACACUGUGUCCAGGGGCUGCCAGUGACAGUCCAUCAGAGCGUCAUACAGCUCCUCACUCUGUUCCAUGAACUCCUUGUUGGCCUCAGUCACAUCCAGCUGUGGCAUGGGGUCUGGAAAGCAAGCAAGGAUGGGGUCAGGGAAGUCUAGGGACAGCUGCAAGGGACCUGGUUCAGUUCCCUUCUCCCAGAACUCUGUUCUAUGGUAAGGUCCCUAUCCUGCCAGUUUCUUUCAGGAAGUGAAAGCACUGCCUUGCAGGGUUCUGGGGAAGAUGAAAAUAGAAUAAUGUAUCUAGAGAAUGGGAAAAUGGCAGCUGUUAGCCUGCAUCUAUUAAAAGCUACACCUGUGUCUCUAGCCAUCAUGUAUCCUAGAUUUUCUGGUCUGGUCCUCACUUCAAAUUUGGGUUUAGAAGGUCUGAUCAAAGUUAUUAAGUCCAGAGCAUCAUCUCAAGAACUGACAAUAAGUGCAUAGUGGAAGAACUUCAGUCAAAUAUAGGAGCUGAAAGGCCAAGUCCUGUAUGUAUGUAUGUGUGUGUGUAUGUACUUUAGAGAAAGGGUCUUGCUCUGUCACACAGGCUAGAGUACAGUGGCACACUUACAGCUCACAGCAGCCUUGAACUCUUAGGUUAAAGUGAUCCUCCCGCCUUAGCCUCCCAAAGUACUGAGAUUACAGGCAUGAGUCCCUGUCCCUGGUGGUAAAAUACUAUUAAAAAUUUUUUCUGCACAGUGGCUCAUGCCCAUAAUCCCAGCACUUCAGCAGGUCGAGGCGGGCAGAUCACCAGAAGUCGGGAGUUCAAGACCAGCCUGACCAACAUGGAGAAAUCCCAUCUCUACUAAAAAUACAAAAUGAGCCGGGCAUGGUGGCACAUGCCUAUAAUCCCAACUACUCGGGAGGCUGAGGCAGGAGAAUUGCUUGAACCCAGGAGGUGGAGGUUGCGGUGAGCCGAGAUGGCACCACUGCAUUCCAGCCUGGGCAACAAGAGCAAAACCCCGUCUCGGCCGGGCGCGGUGGCUCACGCCUGUAAUCCCAGCACUUUGGGAGGCCAAGGCAGGCAGAUCACAAGGUCAAGAGAUCGAGACCAUCCUGGCCAACAUGGUGAAACCCCGUCUCCACUAAAAAUAGAAAAAUUAGCUGGGCGUGGUGGCAGGCACCUGUAGUCCCAGCUACUCGGGAGGCUGAGGCAGGAGAAUCGCUUGAACCCGGGAGGCGGAGGUUGCAGUGAGCCGAGAUCACGCCAUUGCACUCCAGCCUGGGCAACAGAGCAAGAUGCCAUCUCAAAAAAAAAAAAAAAAUUAGCUGGGCAUGGUGACCUGUGUCUGUAGUGCCAGCUACUAGGGAGGCUGAGGCAGGAGGAUCACUUGAGCCUAGGAGGUCGAGGCUGCAGUGAGGCAUGUUCACAUCACUGAUCUCAAGUCUGGGCAACAAAGUGAGACUCUGUCUCAAAAAAAAAAAAAAACUGGGCACUGUGGCUCAUGCCUGUAAACCCAGCACUUUGGGAGGCCGAGGUGGGCAGAUCACAAGGUCAAGGGAUUGAGACCAUCCUGGGCAACAUGGUGAAACCCUGUCUCUACUCAAAUACAAAAAAUUAGCCGGGUAUGGCAGUGCACGCCUGUAGUCCCAGCUACUCGGGAGGCUGAGGCAGGAGAAUCACCUGAACCCGGGAGGCAGAGGUUGCAGUGAACAGAGAUGGCACCACUGCACUCCAGCCUGGCGACAGAGCAAAGACUCUAUCUCAAAAAAAAAAAAAAAAAAAAAAGCCAGGCGCAGUGGCUCAAGCCUGUAAUCCCAGCACUUUGGGAGGCCAAGGUGGGCGGACCACCUGAGGUCAGAAGUUUGAGACCAGCCUGACCAACAUAGAAACCCCAUCUUUAUGGGGUUAGAAAAAUAGAAAUAGAAAAUUAGCUGGGCAUGCGAGAUUGCGCCACUGCACUCCAGCCUGGGCGACAGAGCAAGACUCCGUCUCAAAAAAAGAAAAAAAGAAAAUUAGCUGGGCAUGAUGGCGCAUGCCUGUAAUCCCAGCUACUCGGGAGGCUGAGGCAGAAGAAUCACUUGAACCCGGGAGGCGGAGGUUGCAGUGAGCUGAGAUCGCGCCACUGCACUCCAGCCUGGGCAACAAGAGUGAGACACCGUCUCAAAAAAAAAAAAAACAAAAAAAAACAUUGGGCCUGGCGCAGUGGUUCACACCUGUAAUCCCAGCAUUGGGAGGCAGAGGCGGGCGGAUCAUGAGGUCAAAAGAUAGAGACCAUCAUGGCCAACAUGGUGAAACCCCAUCUUUACUAAAAAUACAAAAAUUAGCUGGGCGUGGUGGCGCGCAUCUGUAGUCCCAGCUAUUCAGGAGGAUGAGGCAGGGGAAUCGCUUGAACCUGUGAGGCAGAGGUUACAGUGGGUCGAGAUCGUGCCACUGAACUCCAGCCUGGUGACAGAGCAAGACUCUCAAGAAAAAGAAAACAAAAAAAGGAUUAAAAAGAGAUUGGAAAAUUCUAAGGACUUAUCUACAGAUAUUAUGAGGCUAAUUAUCUCUAGAAAGAAGGCAAUGUCUCCCAGGGGGAAACAACUAGAGACUUGAAUAUAAAAAGACCGGACUGUCCUGACUUUGCCCCACACUGUGUGACCCUCAGCAGAUCACUUGGGCUUUCCGAGCCACUAGUUUCCCAUCUGUGAAAUGGAGCUCCUGUGUCCUUCCCAGCCCACCCCACAAGGUCACUACAGUUGGCAUCACAUGAGAGGACACAAGAAAGUGCUUUAAAAUGUUAUGAACUAGACAAGUUUGUUCAUGCCCUAAAAGGGAUCUGUUUCCUUUAACGAACAUUUUCUUGACAGAAAACAUUUUCCCUAUGACUUUCUCUUGAAGACGAAUCCUCAAAACAGAUUUCAAACUUUGAGUCUUUUUGUACCUCAAAAAAAGUUUUGGCCAGGAGCAGUGGCUCAUGCCUAUAAUGCCAGCACUUUGGAAGGCCGAGAUGGGCAGAUCACUUGAACCUAGGAGUUCAAGACCAGCCUGGGCAACAUGGUGAAACCCUGCCUCUACAAAAAAAUAGAAAAAAAUAGCCAGUUAUGGUGGGGCACAACUGUAGUCACAGCUCACUGAAGCCUCAACCUCCUGGGCCCAAGCAAUCCUCCUGCCUCAGCCUCCCCCAAGUAGCUGGAACCACAGGCCACCAUGCUUGGCUUUCAGUUUUUCUUUCCUUUUUCUUCUGUGAAAUUCAGUGAAAAUUAUAAAUACUUGGCCGGGCACAGUGGCUCAUGCCUGUAAUCAAAGCACUUUGGGAGGCUGAGGCGGGAGGAUUACUUGAGGUAAGGAGUUCGAAACCAGCCUGGCCAACAUGCUGAAACCCUGUCUCUACUAAAAAUACAAAAAUUAGCCGAGCGUGGUGGUGCAUGCCUGUAAUCCCAGCUACUCAGGAGGCUGAGGCAGGAGAAUCACUUGAACCUGGGAGGCAGAGGUUGCAAUGAGCUGAGAUUGGAGACUGCACCACUGCACUCCAGCCUGGGUGACAGAGCAAGACUCCGUCUCCCAAAAAAAAAAAAAAAAAAAGAGAUGGGGUCUCGUUAUGUUGCCCAGGCUGGUCUCAAAGUUCUAGGCUCAAGCCAUCCUCCAACCCACGUUGGCCUUCCAAAGACCUUACAGGCUUUAGCCACCGUGCCUAGACAGUAAAUACUGUUGUUUUUUUUUUUGAGACGGAGUUUCACUCUCGUCACCCAGGAUGGACUGCAAUGGAGCAUUCUUGGCUCACCGAAACCUCCAUCUCCCGGGUUCAAGUGAGUCUCCUGCUUCAGCCUCCCAAGGAGCUGGAAUUACAGGCAUGGGCCACCAUGCCUGGAUAAUUUUUUUUUUUUUUUGAGACAGAGUCUUGCACUGUUGCCCAGGCUGGAGUACAGUGGUAUGAUCUCGACUCACUGCAACUUCCGCCUCCCGGGUUCAAGUGAUUCUCCUGCCUCAGCCUCCUGAGGAGGUGAGAUUAUAGGCGCGCAACACCACGCCUGGCUAAUUUUUUUAUUUUUAGUACCGGCAGAAUUUCACCAUGUUGGCCAGGCUGGUCUAGAACUUCCGACCUUAGGUGAUCCUCC
rnacentral:lncRNA from 1 species